rnacentral:tRNA from 1 species
UCCCGGGUAGUCUAACGGUAGGACAGAGGACUUUGACUCCUCCAGUCCUGGUUCGAAUCCAGGCCCGGGAGCCA